UACGUAGGUGGCAAGCGUUGUCCGGAUUUAUUGGGCGUAAAGGGAGCGCAGGCGGUGACUUAAGUCUGAUGUGAAAGCCCACGGCUCAACCGUGGAAGGUCAUUGGAAACUGGGUCACUUAAAUACAGAAGAGGAAAGUGGAAUUCCAUGUGUAGCGGUGAAAUGCGUAGAUAUAUGGAGGAACACCAGUGGCGAAGGCGACUUUCUGGUCUGUUAUUGACGCCGAGGCUCGAAAGCAUGGGUAGCAAACAGGAUUAGAUACCCUGGUA
rnacentral:rRNA from 1 species